rnacentral:rRNA from 1 species
ACAACAGUUGGAAACGACUGCUAAUACCNCAUACGAUCUAAUCUCGGCAUCGAGGAAAGAUGAAAGGUGGCCUCUAUUUAUAAGCUAUCACUGAAGGAGGGGGUUGCGUCUGAUUAGCUAGUUGGAGGGGAACGGCCCACCAAGGCGAUGAUCAGUAGCCGGUCUGAGAGGAUGAACGGCCACAUUGGGACUGAGACACGGCCCAGACUCCUACGGGAGGCAGCAUG